rnacentral:rRNA from 1 species
GACGAACGCUGGCGGCGUGCUUAACACAUGCAAGUCGAACGGAAAGGCCCUGCUUUUGUGGGGUGCUCGAGUGGCGAACGGGUGAGUAACACGUGAGUAACCUGCCCUUGACUUUGGGAUAACUUCAGGAAACUGGGGCUAAUACCGGAUAGGAGCUCCUGCUGCAUGGUGGGGGUUGGAAAGUUUCGGCGGUUGGGGAUGGACUCGCGGCUUAUCAGCUUGUUGGUGGGGUAGUGGCUUACCAAGGCUUUGACGGGUAGCCGGCCUGAGAGGGUGACCGGCCACGUGGGAAGUGAGAUACGGCCCAGACCCCUAGGGGGGGCAACAGUGGGAAAAUUUACACAUGGGGCGGAAGCCUGAUGCAGAACCCCCGCGUGGGGGAUGGCGCCCUUCGGGUUAGAAACCUCUUUGCCCUGGGCCGAGGCGGGAGGGGGGGUAGUGGGUAAAGAAGCACCGGGUAAAUGGGG